rnacentral:rRNA from 1 species
AUUGAACGCUGGCGGCAUGCUUUACACAUGCAAGUCGAACGGUAACAGGCCUUCGGGUGCUGACGAGUGGCGAACGGGUGAGUAAUGCAUCGGAACGUGCCCAGAGGUGGGGGAUAACGCAGCGAAAGCUGCGCUAAUACCGCAUGUGAUCUGAGGAUGAAAGCGGGGGACCAGGCAGCAAUGUUUGGCCUCGCGCCUUUGGAGCGGCCGAUGUCAGAUUAGGUAGUUGGUGGGGUAAAGGCCUACCAAGCCGACGAUCUGUAGCUGGUCUGAGAGGACGACCAGCCACACUGGGACUGAGACACGGCCCAGACUCCUACGGGAGGCAGCAGUGGGGAAUUUUGGACAAUGGGCGCAAGCCUGAUCCAGCAAUGCCGCGUGCGGGAAGAAGGCCUUCGGGUUGUAAACCGCUUUUGUACGGAACGAAAAGGCUCUGGCUAAUACCUGGGGCUGAUGACGGUACCGUAAGAAUAAGCACCGGCUAACUACGUG